GCGGCUCGUGGGCUGGUUGCCGGGGGGGGUUGGAAGAGCGGGAGCGGCUCGCAGCGGCUGUGGCUGUGCGGGUGGUGCGCGUGUGGCGCAGAGGCCCAGAGCCUCGCAGUGGCAUGAAAGGAAGAAGCCUUUGCAGACCGGGAGACUAGUGUUGAGAAUUUGUUGAUGUUUCUCCUUGGUUUGUGCUUUCUCCUUGUGCUGAGUGAUUCAAAAACUGUCCUGUCGCUCCAAUGUAUAACCUGGAUCGCAUUGGCCAUUUCUGCAAGACAAGAACAAGCACUGUGCUGAAACAUCUGGGGUCUGAAUGCAGCUCUGAGUGACAAAAGCAAAGCUUUAUGUGUGAUGGAAUCAUGACAGAAGAAAACAGGAAUAACAGUACCGCCAAAAAAGUUGUGUCUUGUCACUUACUGAAGAAUUAGGAUCUUGCAAAGGAACUGCAGCAUGGAUAUCUUCUUUGGGUAUAAACUGUGAGAUAUAGUUCCUAGAAAUUCUCAUGACCCAAUGAACAAUUGUAACUCACACUGCUGAGGACCGGUUUUGAUGAAAGCAGGAGAAACAGCAACGUGUACCAACUACGUGAAAUAAAUGCGUCAGAAAAGCACUUUCACAGGAGGAAUUAAUGCUUGGACAGUAAUUAACGUCUUAUUUCUUAUCUUGGCUGCCUCGGCAGGAGAAAUACUGCAGACCUACAGACAUUGCCAAGCACUGCCGCGGCCGGGAUGGCCGCUGUGGAGCAUUUCACAUCUUAGCGGUUCCCCCAUAGGUUCUGGUGUAUUUGGUGCAGGUGUGCCAGGCUUCCCAUGGACACUGAGCAGAUACUGGCAUUUCCCUUCUAAGGAUGGAGUCCCACUGCACUUGGACUUUAGCUGUAUCGGAUAUUUUUGUGAAAAGUCCCUGAAGGAGGGGAAAUGUCAGCAACUCCAGGUAUUUCCACCAGUCCCGCAGCACCCAGGUGCAUGGUUAUAUGGUUCUGGCGGACUCAGCUAAAGCAGUCUUUCUGUGCAUGCAUUCUAGCAAGGUAAAUCAGCCUGCAAUUGCCAGUUUCGUCUGAGUAUUUUAACACCAGUUUGCUGCCCUACCU